rnacentral:rRNA from 1 species
GAUGAACGCUGGCGGCGUGCCUAAUACAUGCAAGUCGAGCGAACGGACGAGAAGCUUGCUUUUCUGAUGUUAGCGGCGGACGGGUGAGUAACACGUGGAUAACCUACCUAUAAGACUGGGAUAACUUCGGGAAACCGGAGCUAAUACCGGAUAAUAUUUUGAACCGCAUGAUUCAAAAGUGAAAGACGGUCUUGCUGUCACUUAUAGAUGGAUCCGCGCUGCAUUAGCUAGUUGGUAAGGUAACGGCUUACCAAGGCAACGAUGCAUAGCCGACGGGAGAGGGGGAUAGGCCACACUGGAACUGGAACGCGGUCCAGGCUCCUGCGGGAGGCAGCAGAAGGGUAUCUUACGCAAUAGGCGGGAGCCUUGCGGAGCAGCGCGACGUGAGUGAUAGCGGUCUUCGGAUCGUGAAACUGUGUUAUUAGGGAAGAACAUAUGUGUAAGUAACUGUGCACAGCUUGACGGUACCUAAUCAGAAAGCCACGGCUAACUACGUG